UAACCUCGUUAGAUAAUCGAAGUUAAGCAUCAUUGGGCGCGGUCAGUACUUGGGUGGGUGACCACCUGGGAACACUGCGUGCCGUU